AAAACGACUCUCGGCAACG
rnacentral:rRNA from 1 species